CCUACGUGAGGCAGCAGUGGGGGAUAUUGCACACUGGGGGGAACCCUGAUGCAGCGACGCCGCGUGAGCGAAGAAGUACCUCGGUAUGUAAAGCUCUAUCAGCAGGGAAGAAAAUGACGGUACCUGACUAAGAAGCCCCGGCUAAAUACGUGCCAGCAGCCGCGGUAAUACGUAUGGGGCAAGCGUUACCCGGAUUUACUGGGUGUAAAGGGAGCGCAGGCGGCCUGCCACGUCGGGUGGGAAAACCCGGGGCGCACCCCCGGGCAUGCAUUGGAACAUGGCGGGCUGGAGUGUCGGAGGGGCAGGAGGAAGUCCUAGUGUAGCGGUGAAAUGCGUAGAUAUUAGGAGGGACACCGGUGGCGAAGGCGGCCUGCUGGACGAUGACUGACGCUGAGGCUCGAAAGCGUGGGGAGCAAACAGGAUUAGAUACCCCAGUAGUC
rnacentral:rRNA from 1 species